AGGGGGGAACAGCAUCGGGGGGGGGGACGGAUGGACGGACAGGAGAGGGCGGUGGUGAUGACAACAGCGCUUGGCUCAUCAGCACGUCUCUGAUAGCAGCUUGGAGCCCUCUGCGAUCGAUCAAGCCAAGGUGCACGGACUGCUUCAGAUCUAUUUAAAGAGCCUGGCUGCCUGGCCCCGAGGGGGAGAAGCUGUGAAUAAACCCCCCCGGUCACCGCUGCGCCUCUCCGAGGUGUCCCAAGGGGCUUCCCGACCCUCUGCCAUGGGGACACCCCCGGUGCCACCUUGUCCCUCAGCUCCGGUCCCUGAAGUUAGAGCAUCCCAGCUCGGACACGGGGCAGGGGACGCGGCGUGGGCACGGUGCAGGUGUCCUUCGGCCGCAGCCUGGGUGCUGGGGAAUUGCUGCUGAGGUUCGGGCUGGGGGCGCAGCUCAGCACCCGGCACGGUCAUGGCUCAGGGAGCAGGGGAGGCUGGGCUGGGUGGUCGGAGUGCGGGGUCUAAUCCUGCCCCCCAGGACCAUUGUACCAAACAUCCCCCCCCUCUCAGCACUGCUUUGAUCCCGAGAGGUUCGGGCUGUGCCACCCACCCCAGCAGUGACCAGGGGACAGUCCCAGGCCACGGCCACCCCUGGGUGCAGCACCCAGGUGCGUGCACAGGGGCUGGAUUUGGCCGUGGCUGCGCAACACAGGGAGCAGCGAGGCUCUGAAACUGUCCAGCUCCCAGGAUUUCUGCAGAAGAUGCUGCUUGUUUUAUUUAUUUAUUUAUUUAUUUUUCCUUGCUGAGAGGAGCCAGCAGCUGCAGACAGAGCGGGGCAUUAAGGAAAACAAAUGGGCCGGAGCCGAGAGGGAGAAGCCCGGAUACGGCCGCAUUUGUCAGGCUCCGUAUCGGCAUGUGGCCAUCGCUCAGCAGCCCGUUAUACCUGGAAACGGCAGGGGAGCGCAGACAGAAGCCGUGUGGAUCUGGGUGUUUCACCAACCUGCGCAAAGCGAGCGGCCAAAUUUCCUGGGCUGCAGCCGCCCCUGUCCAGCGUCGCCGCUGCCCCCUGAGCCCGUCCUGCUCGUCACACCGAUGGGCUGCUCUGGGAGCAGGCAUCCCGGGAGGGUUUCCUCUGCUGCUGCCUGGGCAAACUGAGACAUCCUCUGAGCAUCCCCACGUCCCUGAGCAUCCUGCAUCUCCGAGCAUCCUGCAUCCCUGAGCAUCUCCAUAUCCCGCAGCAUCCCGCAUCCCGCAGCAUCCCACGUCCCUAAGCCAGCAGGUCCCAGGCACGGGGCCGAGGGCGCAGCAGGAGCCCCGCAGGGGUGGAGGGCUGCGGAGGGUGACGGCGACGUAGCACCUACUCUAAUGGGAUCCUCUCCACAAGUAAUUAAGCCUCGGCUAAUGCUAACCGUAAUGUGAUGUAUGUAUGCCUUUAACUAAUCAUUUAUUAGCCUCGUUGAUGGUUUGUCAAUAUUAAUUCAUUUAUUUAAACAACUCCGAGCUGUAAUGAAGAUGUUUGCUUUAAGGGGGAAAAAAGAGAUGGAGCUGCCAGGAGAUUUUUUGUUGACUCGAUGGAUGUCGCUCUGCCCUGGGUGAUGAGCAGUGUCCCUGCCCUCGAAACCCGGCCCCUCGCUGCCAGCGGUGUCCCCAACCUGGUGGCAGCCCCCGGAGCAUCCCGAGGGGCUGCUGUAGGGACCCCCCCCCCCCCAGCACCUCUGGGCUGGCUGGGCUGGGGCCACCCAAACCAGCUGAGCGCUGUGGCCAGUACAACUUUGUUUCAAAGAAUUUCCGUCAGUUUGACCUUAAAAUGUUCCAGCCAUACUUAG
rnacentral:lncRNA from 1 species